CCAAGCAUAGUGCUGGCCCUUAGAUUACAGGUAAAUAAAUAUGUAUCCUUCUCUCAAGAACUUUUUAGUCUAAACAGAGACAAAUGUGUAAGCAGUAAUUGUCAUGAAGGUCAUGGUAGAGAGAUGUCCUGGAUGUAACAUGGGUAGAAAGGAGGGAAGGGCCAACUCUGCUUGAGUGAGCAGAGGCAGGUGGAUUCAUAGACCAAAGAACAGAAUCUCCAGCUAGUGGUAGGAAAAUGGGCAAGUGCUCACAGAAGUGGCUGCAGUUGGGGGCACUCCAGCACUUACAGAGAUGAGGCAGCAUGGUACAAGGUAGUGUUGGGUCACAGUGAUGUGAUGUAGCAUGGUGUGGCAGCAUAUGAAAGGGAGUACCCAUGAAGAGUGUCAGGAAACCGCUGGACAAGGACCAGAGGUCUCUGAGCAUGCUCAUUUUGUCAUUUCCCUAAGGCAUUUCUGCAGUGAAGAGGUUGGUAAAACAUCUGGCCCCCCUUUGUCCCAGUAAUAAUUAGGAGCUCUGUGCAGUUCACUUUCAUGCUUCUCAUUGUCAUGGAAAGAGUUAAAUGCCCUCAGCACAGUGACAAUCAGGGAUAGCCUGGGUUCAUCUCCCCAACUUCCCACCAGGUCCUCUGGCCAGUUCCACUGCCUGCCAUUUGUCAACUACCACCUUAGCUCUCCUCUUUUCACUCUAUCCCAAGUCUUCCUUCUCCUUGGGACUUCCGCUCCCUCUUCCUUCAC
rnacentral:lncRNA from 1 species